GCUCGUCGAUAUGAACAUCAUUGUGACAGAAGACAGCUGAUCGCCACCAUGUUGAAUCGCGUUGCACUCUCUGUACUUCUUCACGAUUACACUCUCUCCUUCGUUCCUCGACAAAUUCCAAGACAUUUAUACGAAUAUUGUAAACGCAGGAAGAGCAGUAUACAAAUAAAAUGAACAUAUUUUUCGUU